rnacentral:rRNA from 1 species
AACAAACGCUGGCGGCGUGCAUAACACAUGCAAGUCUAACGGGAAAGUUGGCUUCGGCUGGCAAGUACCGUGGCGAACGGGUGAGUAACACGUGGGUAAUCUAACCUCGAGUUUGGGAUAACCUUGCGAAAGCGGGGCUAAUACCGAAUAAGACCACGCCCUGUACGCAGGGUGCGGUAAAAGGUGGCCUCUUCCUGAAAGCUAUCACUUGAGGAUGAGCCCGCGGCCUAUUAGCUAGUUGGUGGGGUAACGGCCCACCAAGGCGACGAUGGGUAGCCGGCCUGAGAGGGUGUACGGCCACACUGGAACUGAGAUACGGGCCAGACUCCUACGGGAGGCAGCAGUGGGGAAUUUUGCGCAAUGGGGGAAACCCUGACGCAGCAACGCCGCGUAAGUGAUGAAGGCCUUCGGGUCGUAAAGCUCUUUUAGUGGGGAAGAAGCCCCGCAGGACUAAUACUUCUGCGGUCUGACGGUACCCACAGAAAAAGUUCCGGCUAACUACGUGCCAGCAGCCGCGGUAAGAC